AAAGCUGUACCGCCGAAUUCAUUGGUAAAUGGAACGGGAGAAAUAGUCUUGGGUAAAACUGGCGAAAGUUAGCCGGUCGGGUAAAUCUGCCUAUCCGCACCCCUUAAAUAAUCCCGUAGGCGUCGGCAGAAUUUAUUU
rnacentral:sRNA from 2 species